CCUCCCCUGGCUGUGUCACUGAGUGCUGAGAAACCCAGAUGUGGGGGUGUCUGGGCUUAUGCUGUUGUUCCCAGGGGAAUCUCUAAUGGACCAUGUCACCACAAGCCACCCAGGACAUGGCCACUGAAGUCCAGAGCUGAGCUGGUGUAACUGAACAGCACAUGUCCUCACACAGGCCCAGCUGGUACCAGUUACACCAGUCCUGGUACUGGUAGAGAGCCACAGGGAGCCAAGAUCCAGACCACCAUGUCAUGCUCAGGCAGACCCCACAAGUCGCUCAGCUCCUGCUGUGAUCCUCACGUUUGUCCUCACAUGGCUCCCAAUGGCUCUGUGUCUGUGCAUCCACAUGACCUCCUCCAGGCACUCGGAGUCAGCUGAGGCCAUCACAUGGUGGCCCUGGUCGAGGCAGAAGGAACAUGUGUCAGACCACAACCACCAUGGCAGGCAUGUUCCUACAUCUGUGCGUCACCACCAGUUCUGGCCCAUCCUCCCAUGGCCUCCUUAUACACCACUGCAGAAUAAGAAAGCAAACUCACGGCGUUUAGACCAAGCUUAGAAAGAUUACGAACCUCUUCUCUCAUGAACUCAUGUUAGUUAUAUAAAAAAAACCUGCUUGGAGCCAA